rnacentral:rRNA from 1 species
AGUCGAACGAUGAUGCCCAGCUUGCUGGGCGGAUUAGUGGCGAACGGGUGAGUAAUACGUGAGUAACCUGCCCUUGACUCUGGGAUAAGCCUGGGAAACUGGGUCUAAUACUGGAUACUACCUCUUGCCGCAUGGUGGGUGGUGGAAAGGGUUUUACUGGUUUUGGAUGGGCUCACGGCCUAUCAGCUUGUUGGUGGGGUAAUGGCUCACCAAGGCGACGACGGGUAGCCGGCCUGAGAGGGUGACCGGCCACACUGGGACUGAGACACGGCCCAGACUCCUACGGGAGGCAGCAGUGGGGAAUAUUGCACAAUGGGCGGAAGCCUGAUGCAGCGACGCCGCGUGAAGGAUGACGGCCUUUCGGGUAGUAAACCUCUUUCAGUAGGGAAGAAGCGAGAGUGACGGUACCUGCAGAAGAAGCGCCGGCUAACUACGUGCCAGCAGCCGCGGUAAUACGUAGGGGCGCAAGCGUUGUCCUGGAAUUAUUGGGCGUAAAGAGCUCGUAGGCGGUUUGUCGCGUCUGCUGUGAAAAGCACGGGGCUCAACCCCGGGUCUGCAGUGGGUACGGGCAGACUAGAGUGCAGUAGGGGAGACUGGAAUUCCUGGUGUAGCGGUGAAAUGCGCAGAUAUCAGGAGGAACACCGAUGGCGAAGGCAGGUCUCUCGGCUGUUACUGACGCUGAGGAGCGAAAGCAUGGGGAGCGAACAGGAUUAGAUACCCUGGUAGUCCAUGCCGUAAACGUUGGGCACUAGGUGUGGGGGACAUUCCACGUUUUCCGCGCCGUAGCUAACGCAUUAAGUGCCCCGCCUGGGGAGUACGGCCGCAAGGCUAAAACUCAAAGGAAUUGACGGGGGCCCACACAAAGCGGCGGAGCAUGCGGAUUAAUUCGAUGCAACGCGAAGAACCUUACCAAGGCUUGACAUUCACCGGACCGCCCCAGAGAUGAGGUUUCCCUUCGGGGCUGGUGGACAGGUGGUGCAUGGGUUGUCGUCAGCUCGUGUCGUGAGAUGUUGGGUUAAGUCCCGCAACGAGCGCAACCCUCAUCCUAUGUUAGCCAGCCACGUGAAUGGUGCGAACUCAUAGGAGACUGACCGGGGAUUCGAACUUUCGGAGGAAGGUGGGGAUGACGUCAAAUCAUCAUGCCCCUUAUGUCUUGGGCUUCACGCAUGCUACAAUGGCCGGUACAAAGGGUUGCGAUACUGUGAGGUGGAGCUAAUCCCAAAAAGCCGGUCUCAGUUCGGAUUGAGGUCUGCAACUCGACCUCAUGAAGUCGGAGUCGCUAGUAAUCGCAGAUCAGCAACGCUGCGGUGAAUACGUUCCCGGGCCUUGUACACACCGCCCGUCAAGUCACGAAAGUUGGUAACACCCGAAGCCGGUGGCCUAACCCCUUGUGGGAGGGAGCCGUCGAAGGUGGGACUGGCGAUUGG